rnacentral:rRNA from 1 species
UACGUAGGGUGCGAGCGUUGUCCGGAAUUAUUGGGCGUAAAGAGCUCGUAGGCGGCUUGUCACGUCGGGUGUGAAAGCCCGGGGCUUAACCCCGGGUCUGCAUUCGAUACGGGCUAGCUAGAGUGUGGUAGGGGAGAUCGGAAUUCCUGGUGUAGCGGUGAAAUGCGCAGAUAUCAGGAGGAACACCGGUGGCGAAGGCGGGUCUCUGGGCCGAUAUCGACGCUGAGGAGCGAAAGCGUGGGGAGCGAACAGG